AUUGAACGCUGGCGGCAGGCCUAACACCUGCAAGUCGAGCGAGCGGCGGACGGGUGAGUAAUGUCUGGGAAACUGCCUGAUGGAGGGGGAUAACUACUGGAAACGGUAGCUAAUACCGCAUACCAUCAGAUGUGCCCAGAUGGGAUUAGCUCGUAGGUGGGGUAACGGCGCACCGAGGCGACGAUCCCUAGCUGGUCUGAGAGGAUGACCAGCCACACUGGAACGGAGACACGGCCCAGACUCCGACGGGAGGCAGCAGUGGGGAAUAUUGCGCAAUGGGCGCAAGCCUGAUGAAGCCAUGCCGCGUGUGUGAAGAAGGCCUUCGGGUUGUAAAGCACUUUCAGCGGGGAGGCGUUACCCGCAGAAGAAGCACCGGCUAACGCCGUGCCAGCAGCCGCGGUAAUUC
rnacentral:rRNA from 1 species